UGGGGGAUCUUGCGCAAUGGGCGAAAGCCUGACGCAGCGACGCCGCGUGGGUGAUGAAGGCCUUCGGGUCGUAAAGCCCUGUCGAGGGGAAAGAAACAGUCGGGGUCUAAUAGGCCCCGGCUUUGACGGUACCCCUAAAGGAAGCACCGGCUAACUCCGUGCCAGCAGCCGCGGUAAUACGGAGGGUGCGAGCGUUGUUCGGAAUCACUGGGCGUAAAGCGCGUGUAGGCGGUCCGCUAAGUCUGAUGUGAAAGCCCGGGGCUCACCCCCGGAAGUGCAUUGGAAACUGGCAGACUCGAGUCCCGGAGAGGAGAGUGGAAUUCCUGGUGUAGCGGUGAAAUGCGUAGAUAUCAGGAGGAACACCGGUGGCGAAGGCGGCUCUCUGGACGGUGACUGACGCUGAGACGCGAAAGCGUGGGGAGCAAACAGGAUUAGAUACCCCUGUAGUCC
rnacentral:rRNA from 1 species